CGGAUAUUUAAGUCAGAUGUGAAAACCCCGGGCUUAACUUGGGGACUGCAUUUGAAACUGGAUAUCUAGAGUGCAGGAGAGGAAAGCGGAAUUCCUAGUGUAGCGGUGAAAUGCGUAGAGAUUAGGAAGAACACCAGUGGCGAAGGCGGCUUUCUGGACUGUAACUGACGCUGAGGCACGAAAGCGUGGGUAGCAAACAGGAUUAGAUACCCUGGUAGUCCACGCCGUAAACGAUGAGUACUAGGUGUAGGAGGUAUCGACCCCUUCUGUGCCGCAGUAAACACAAUAAGUACUCCGCCUGGGAAGUACGAUCGCAAGAUUAAAACUCAAAGGAAUUGACGGGGGCCCGCACAAGCAGCGGAGCAUGUGGUUUAAUUCGAAGCAACGCGAAGAACCUUACCUGGACUUGACAUCCCCUGAAUAACCUAGAGAUAGGCGAAGCCCUUCGGGGCAGGGAGACAGGUGGUGCAUGGUUGUCGUCAGCUCGUGUCGUGAGAUGUUAGGUUAAGUCCUGCAACGAGCGCAACCCCUAUUGUUAGUUGCUAACAUUAAGUUGAGCACUCUAAUAAGACUGCCCGGGUUAACCGGGAGGAAGGUGGGGAUGACGUCAAAUCAUCAUGCCCCUUAUGUCCAGGGCCACACACGUGCUACAAUGGUGAGUACAACAAGAAGCGAACCCGCGAGGGGGAGCAAAACUUAUAAAACUCAUCCCAGUUCGGAUUGUAGGCUGAAACUCGCCUACAUGAAGCUGGAGUUGCUAGUAAUCGCGAAUCAGCAUGUCGCGGUGAAUACGUUCCCGGGCCUUGUACACACCGCCCGUC
rnacentral:rRNA from 1 species